GACAGAGGGUGCAAACGUUGUUCGGAAUUACUGGGCGUAAAGCGAGUGUAGGCGGUUCGAUAAGUCGGGUGUGAAAGCCCCGGGCUCAACCUGGGAAUUGCAUUCGAGACUGAAUAGCUAGGGUGCGGUAGAGGGAAGCGGAAUUUCCGGUGUAGCGGUGAAAUGCGUAGAUAUCGGAAGGAACAUCAGUGGCGAAAGCGGCUUCCUGGACCAGCACCGACGUUCAGGCACGAAAGCGUGGGGAGCAAACAGG
rnacentral:rRNA from 1 species